CUGGCUCAGAUUGAACGCUGGCGGCAGGCCUAACACAUGCAAGUCGAACGGUAACAGGAAACAGCUUGCUGUUUCGCUGACGAGUGGCGGACGGGUGAGUAAUGUCUGGGAAACUGCCUGAUGGAGGGGGAUAACUACUGGAAACGGUAGCUAAUACCGCAUAACGUCGCAAGACCAAAGAGGGGGACCCUCGGGCCUCUUGCCAUCGGAUGUGCCCAGAUGGGAUUAGCUUGUUGGUGGGGUAACGGCUCACCAAGGCGACGAUCCCUAGCUGGUCUGAGAGGAUGACCAGCCACACUGGAACUGAGACACGGUCCAGACUCCUACGGGAGGCAGCAGUGGGGAAUAUUGCACAAUGGGCGCAAGCCUGAUGCAGCCAUGCCGCGUGUAUGAAGAAGGCCUUCGGGUUGUAAAGUACUUUCAGCGGGGAGGAAGGGAGUAAAGUUAAUACCUUUGCUCAUUGACGUUACCCGCAGAAGAAGCACCGGCUAACUCCGUGCCAGCAGCCGCGGUAAUACGGAGGGUGCAAGCGUUAAUCGGAAUUACUGGGCGUAAAGCGCACGCAGGCGGUUUGUUAAGUCAGAUGUGAAAUCCCCGGGCUCAACCUGGGAACUGCAUCUGAUACUGGCAAGCUUGAGUCUCGUAGAGGGGGGUAGAA
rnacentral:rRNA from 1 species